CCUCCUCUUCAUCCCACAUCCUUUAUGUAUAUAACAUGCUCAAAUAGCAUUAUACAUAAUUUCACUAUUCACGUAUAUUUAAAUUCAAAGCUAUCAAUUUGAGUCAGAGUCACUAAAUCAUUUUUAUCCGAAUCUGCAGAGCUUCAAAUUAAGAUCCGUUAAUUUUCUCCAAAAAUAGACUCAUAUAUCUUCUUACCAUAAAAUUUUCAGAAUUUUUUACUUGGAAAAUUAGUACAGUUUAUUCUUUAAAGUCACCCCUGUUUCACUGCUAAACAUCUCAGACCUCUCUUCACUAAAAAUGAAUUGUCUCAUUGUACAAAAUUCGGAUGAUAUUUCCGUUUGUUUCCUUUGAAAAUAGAAUUAUUAAGGAUUCUAAAAAUAUAAAUUAUAACUCAUAAUUAUUUUUUAAAAAUUUUUAAUUUUUUUCCAAAGUCAGAACAGGGGAUUCCAAAAUCAAUCCGACCCUGCCUCACUAAAAUUCAAAUAUCUCAAAAUACAUAACUCUUUUGCUUGCUUUGUUUCUUUUAUAUAAAAAUAAACUCAUUAAUAUUUCAUUUCAUAUCUUAUUCACUCUCUACUUCAAUUUUCACCAUUUUUGGUGACUUUUCAAAGUCACACAACUGUUGCUGUCUAAACUGUUUUGUUGUACAAUGUAUUCUUUCAUAAUUUCACUUUUUCACUAUCUCAAUUUCAUUGAAUUUUUCACAUCUCAUUCCAAUAGUUCAUUUCAAUUCAUAUACAAUUCAUUCAAUUUAUCACUAUAUUCAAAGCAAUCCAAUUUCUCAUUUCCAAUUUCAAGUCAAUCUUCAAUUCAAUUCUACAUAUAUAUUCAUCACUCAAUUACACUUAGUCAAUUUCCCGAUGAACACUUUGGAAUAAUAACAGAUACAUGGUGGAAUCAACACAUAGCAACCACCUUAUAAUAAGUGAUACCCGGUUCACAUAGUAGCCUG
rnacentral:lncRNA from 1 species